UACGUAGGGUGCAAGCGUUAAUCGGAAUUACUGGGCGUAAAGCGUGCGCAGGCGGUUUUGUAAGUCUGACGUGAAAUCCCCCGAGCUUAACUUGGGAAUUGCGUUGGAGACUGCAAGGCUGGAGUCUGGCAGAGGGGGGUAGAAUUCCACGUGUAGCAGUGAAAUGCGUAGAGAUGUGGAGGAACACCGAUGGCGAAGGCAGCCCCCUGGGUCAAGACUGACGCUCAUGCACGAAAGCGUAGGGGAGC
rnacentral:rRNA from 1 species